UUAGUCCCGGUUCUUACACCAACCGGGACAGAUGGGCCUCCACGUGGCCGCUGCGGCCAGGCAAGGCAGGGGGGCCUUUAGUCCCGGUUGGUGACACCAAUCGGGACCAAAAGGCAUCCACGCGUCAGCACGUGGCUGAAGCUGAGUUUUUUUGAAAGGGGCUGGUUUAGGGGUUAAUUUAGGUUGUUUUAUAUACACCAACCAAUUGGGAGCAUCCA
rnacentral:lncRNA from 1 species